UACGUAGGGUGCAAGCGUUAAUCGGAAUUACUGGGCGUAAAGCGUGCGCAGGCGGUCUUGUAAGUCUGUCGUGAAAGCCCCGGGCUUAACCUGGGAAUUGCGAUGGAGACUGCAAGGCUUGAAUCUGGCAGAGGGGGGUAGAAUUCCACGUGUAGCAGUGAAAUGCGUAGAGAUGUGGAGGAACACCGAUGGCGAAGGCAGCCCCCUGGGUCAAGACUGACGCUCAUGCACGAAAGCGUGGGGAGCAAACAGG
rnacentral:rRNA from 1 species